AUUGAACGCUGGCGGCAUGCUUUACACAUGCAAGUCGAACGGUAACAGGCCGCAAGGUGCUGACGAGUGGCGAACGGGUGAGUAACGCAUCGGAACGUGCCCAGUCGUGGGGGAUAACUACUCGAAAGAGUAGCUAAUACCGCAUACGAUCUAUGGAUGAAAGCGGGGGACCGUAAGGCCUCGCGCGAUUGGAGCGGCCGAUGUCAGAUUAGGUAGUUGGUGGGGUAAAGGCUCACCAAGCCAACGAUCUGUAGCUGGUCUGAGAGGACGACCAGCCACACUGGGACUGAGACACGGCCCAGACUCCUACGGGAGGCAGCAGUGGGGAAUUUUGGACAAUGGGCGCAAGCCUGAUCCAGCAAUGCCGCGUGCAGGAAGAAGGCCUUCGGGCUGUAAACUGCUUUUGUACGGAACGAAACGGCUCUGGUUAAUACCCGGGGCUAAUGACGGUACCGUAAGAAUAAGCACCGGCUAACUACGUG
rnacentral:rRNA from 1 species